UACGAAGGGGGCUAGCGUUGCUCGGAAUCACUGGGCGUAAAGCGCACGUAGGCGGAUCUUUAAGUCAGGGGUGAAAUCCUGGAGCUCAACUCCAGAACUCGCUUGAUACUGGGGAUCUCGAGUCCGGAAGAGGUGAGUGGAACUCCGAGUGUAGAGGUGGAAUUCGUAGAUAUUAGGAAGAACACCAGUGGCGAAGGCGGCUCACUGGUCCGGUACUGACGCUGAGGUGCGAAAGCGUGGGGAGCAAACAGGG
rnacentral:rRNA from 1 species